rnacentral:lncRNA from 1 species
GUUGUGUUCUCCUGUGCCUCACAAAAAGGAAAAAAGAAAACAGCAUACGUGCUCAUAAGCUGGAAAGCAUGGAGAGAAGCUGUACAAAUCAUGGCAUGUUUCACAGUGCAAGGAUGCAUAGAGAAGUCUGUUGAGUUUUCAAUACAAUAAGAUUUCUCAGCCCCCACAAGCUCAGACAGACCCAAGAUACCCACAUUAGAAAGGCAAGCUUAGUAUUUCACCUAUUUAUGUAUCUGUCUGCACUGAAUUUCCUUUAGGUUCAUCUGGGAGCUGCUCAGCUACAUCUGACUUUCAUUUGGUUUGGAAAUUAUUUUCCCCCUGUUUCUUGUCACUUCCUGUAAAGUUUCACCCAACGAUCUGGCCAAUGGGGAGCUAAGCUCUAAAUUAGCACAAGUUCAGUUGCAAGCAUAACGGAAUUAAAAAAGAAGGAACCAGUAAAACCACGCUCUUGACACCAGCUCAAAACGUUCAGUUCCAGAACUGGAUCCAAAACUGAACUUUGCUGUUUAGAACUAUCUUCUGUGAGCCCUCAUUUCUCAGGUGGAAGUCUGUAACCUGCUGCCAAUGCAGGCAUAUUUCACGAAAUUCAGUGGGAAGACUUGGUUGGUAAAAAAGGUCAGCAUCUGCAUUCUCUGGAGGCAACAAAACACUGGCUUCCUUACACAGAAAAUGGACACUAGGACAAGAAGAUCUUCUAAGUCCAAAGGGAAACCACCAUCUACAUCACUACAAAUGACAAAAUCCAAACAACUUGUUCAAGAUCACACAGUGAUAUCAGCGCUCAGAACAGGAGCCAAGAGUCAUCACCUUUAACCAGCAGAUAACCCUUUCGUCGUGUGGUUUUGGACAGCUGACAGUGCAUCAGGCAGUAUGGUACACAGCUGUAGGCAGGAUAGGGAGUUCAGAAUUCAAUUUCCAUGAGUUAUGAGAAGUCCCUCGUGAAAAUACUCACUUCAGUGUCUGAUCUCAGUCCAUUCUCUGUCUCCAUAAAAUGAGGAGGAGAAAACAAUCUUUCUUUAUACUAUGCUUUAAGAUUCACAGAUAAAACACAUUUUUUAGAGCUCUGAUUCUUUCUUUAAAAAUUCAUAGCAUCAUUUUCCCUUUUGCCCCCAUUUCAGCUAACCAAAAAUUC